rnacentral:rRNA from 1 species
AACGAACGCUGGCGGCGUGGCUAAGGCAUGCAAGUCGAACGGAUCUAUCCAACGGGUAACUGAAGGGUAGAUUAGUGGCGAACGGGUGAGGAAUACAUGGACAACGUACCCUGGACACGGGGAUAGCGGCGGGCCGCAAGGCUCUUUAGCGAAAGUGCCGGUAAUACCCGAUGAUCCCGCAUGGUCGCAUGAUCGUGUGGGCAAAGCUCCGACGGUCUGGGAUCGGCAUGCCCUAUCAGCUAGUUGGUGAGGUAACGGCUCACCAAGGCGGCGACGGGUACCGGGCGUGAGAGCGUGACCCGGCACAUCGGAACUGAGAUACGGUCCGGACACCUACGGGUGGCUGCAGCAACGAAUAUUCCGCAAUGGACG